CGGUAAUACGGAGGAUGCAAGCGUUAUCCGGGGCCGUUGGGCGUAAAGCGUCCGCAGGUGGCUAAUCAAGUCUGCUGUUAAAGACAGAAGCUCAACUUCUGAGCAGCGGUAAGGGCUGGAGAGCUAGAGUACGGUAGGGGUUGAGGGAAUUCCCAGUGUAGCGGUGAAAUGCGUAGACGCCAGGAAGAACACCAGUGGCGAAGGCGCUCAACUGGGCCGUAACUGACACUGAGGGACGAAAGCUAGGGGAGCGAAAGGGAUUAGAUACCCCUGUAGUCCUAGCUGUAAACGAUGAACACUAGGCGCCAUUUGUAUCGACCCGAAUGGUGCCGUAGCCAACGCGUUAAGUGUUCCGCCUGGGGAGUACGCACGCAAGCAUGAA
rnacentral:rRNA from 1 species